UCAUUGUCAAACAACGUGAAAUCAAUAUAAAAAAAACAUUCAAACAUUAGCAAUGAAGCUUAUAAGCAUGUAUGCUAUACUUGUAUUACUUAUCACAACACCAAUUGCAACAUCAACAUCAACAUCAGGUAAUUUUACAUACUUUUGUAUAUGAUUAUUUAUAUAUGUAUAUCUAAGGUUGUUUAUCAAAGAUUCAUUUAUUGAUAAAUGAUUUCAACUUCUUAAUGGUUCAGAAAAAAAAGUAAAUUUUUUAACGAAGAUUGUGUAUUGUUGUGACUUGUUUUAGGCGUUGUGAAUACCGAGUCCAAGAUUAACAUCCACAUUUGUGAGUCGUAUUUUAACUGGGGUAGUAGUUGUCAAGAUAAAAAAUGCAAUGAUUAUUGUAGCAAUUUGUACGGGAACUUCUCAUGGGGGGAGUGCGGAACAUUGUAUGGUAUGUUAAGGUGUCAUUGUCAUUGGCCUUGUUAAAAUGUUCAAAGCUUUUGUAGGUCUAUUUGGGUACUACAAAUAGAAUUGGUUAUUAAUGGUUGG
rnacentral:lncRNA from 1 species